AUUGAACGCUGGCGGCAGGCCUAACACAUGCAAGUCGAGCGGAUGAAGGGAGCUUGCUCCUGGAUUCAGCGGCGGACGGGUGAGUAAUGCCUAGGAAUCUGCCUGGUAGUGGGGGAUAACGUCCGGAAACGGGCGCUAAUACCGCAUACGUCCUGAGGGAGAAAGUGGGGGAUCUUCGGACCUCACGCUAUCAGAUGAGCCUAGGUCGGAUUAGCUAGUUGGUGGGGUAAAGGCCUACCAAGGCGACGAUCCGUAACUGGUCUGAGAGGAUGAUCAGUCACACUGGAACUUAGACACGGUCCAGACUCCUAAGGGAGGCAGCAGUGGGGAAUAUUGGACAAUGGGCGAAAGCCUGAUCCAGCCAUGCCGCGUGUGUGAAGAAGGUCUUCGGAUUGUAAAGCACUUUAAGUUGGGAGGAAGGGCAGUAAGUUAAUACCUUGCUGGUUUGACGUUACCAACAGAAUAAGCACCGGCUAACUUCGUG
rnacentral:rRNA from 1 species